rnacentral:rRNA from 1 species
CCACCGGGAUGUUCAUAACCCUUUGUUGUCCGACUCUGUUGCCUCCGGGGCGACCCUGCCUUCGGGCGGGGGCUCCGGGUGGACACUUCAAACUCUUGCGUAACUUUGCAGUCUGAGUAAACUUAAUUAAUAAAUUAAAACUUUUAACAACGGAUCUCUUGGUUCUGGCAUCGAUGAAGAACGCAGCGAAAUGCGAUAAGUAAUGUGAAUUGCAGAAUUCAGUGAAUCAUCGAAUCUUUGAACGCACAUUGCGCCCCCUGGUAUUCCGGGGGGCAUGCCUGUUCGAGCGUCAUUUCACCACUCAAGCCUCGCUUGGUAUUGGGCAUCGCGGUCCGCCGCGUGCCUCAAAUCGACCGGCUGGGUCUUCUGUCCCCUAAGCGUUGUGGAAACUAUUCGCUAAAGGGUGUUCGGGAGGCUACGCCGUAAAACAACCCCAUUUCUAAGGUUGACCUCGGAUCAGGUAGGGAUACCCGCUGAACUUAAGCAUAUCAAUAAGCCGGGAGGAAA